AAACCAACCGGGAUUGCCUUAGUAACGGCGAGUGAAGCGGCAAAAGCUCAAAUUUGAAAUCUGGUACCUUCGGUGCCCGAGUUGUAAUUUGGAGAGGGCAACUUUGGGGCCGUUCCUUGUCUAUGUUCCUUGGAACAGGACGUCAUAGAGGGUGAGAAUCCCGUGUGGCGAGGAGUGCGGUUCUUUGUAAAGUGCCUUCGAAGAGUCGAGUUGUUUGGGAAUGCAGCUCUAAGUGGGUGGUAAAUUCCAUCUAAAGCUAAAUAUUGGCGAGAGACCGAUAGCGAACAAGUACAGUGAUGGAAAGAUGAAAAGAACUUUGAAAAGAGAGUGAAAAAGUACGUGAAAUUGUUGAAAGGGAAGGGCAUUUGAUCAGACAUGGUGUUUUGUGCCCUCUGCUCCUUGUGGGUAGGGAAUCUCGCAUUUCACUGGGCCAGCAUCAGUUUUGUGGCAGGAUAAAUCCAUAGGAAUGUAGCUUGCCUCGGUAAGUAUUAUAGCCUGUGGGAAUACUGCC
rnacentral:rRNA from 1 species